CCAGGAAGGAUUUGCUUGUGUGAAAUGUGUUCUCUUCUAAAGAUCAAAAGAGUAGAGCUGAUCCACUCACGAUGAAUUGUGACUUGUGCAUUCUUCUCUCCUACAUGUUGCGCAUGCUCUGUCAAUAUGAUUCAAAGCUUGCCGAACAGUAUGGAACCGGAAACAAAGUACCUGUCACUCUUGAUCAAAGACCCCUGGAAACCAAACAGAACACACUCAACGGAAAUGUAGAAAAGUUCAAAUGGAGCUAUGGGGGAUC